rnacentral:rRNA from 1 species
CCACGUGUGGCUGCAGUGGGGAAUAUUGGACAAUGGGCGAAAGCCUGAUCCAGCCAUGCCGCGUGUGUGAAGAAGGCCUUCGGGUUGUAAAGCACUUUCAGUGGGGAAGAAAGCCUUGGGGCUAAUACCCUCGAGGAAGGACAUCACCCACAGAAGAAGCACCGGCUAACUCCGUGCCAGCAGCCGCGGUAAUACGGAGGGUGCGAGCGUUAAUCGGAAUUACUGGGCGUAAAGCGCGCGUAGGCGGUCUGAUAAGCCGGUUGUGAAAGCCCCGGGCUCAACCUGGGAACGGCAUCCGGAACUGUCAGGCUAGAGUGCAGGAGAGGAAGGUAGAAUUCCCGGUGUAGCGGUGAAAUGCGUAGAGAUCGGGAGGAAUACCAGUGGCGAAGGCGGCCUUCUGGACUGACACUGACGCUGAGGUGCGAAAGCGUGGGUAGCAAACAGGAUUAGAUACCCCAGUAGUC